rnacentral:rRNA from 1 species
UACGUAGGGUGCGAGCGUUAAUCGGAAUUACUGGGCGUAAAGCGUGCGCAGGCGGUUCGCCAAGUCAGGUGUGAAAUCCCCGGGCUUAACCUGGGAAUUGCGCUUGAAACUAGCGGGCUUGAGUGCGGCAGAGGGGGGUGGAAUUCCACGUGUAGCAGUGAAAUGCGUAGAGAUGUGGAGGAACACCGAUGGCGAAGGCAGCCCCCUGGGCUAACACUGACGCUCAGGCACGAAAGCGUGGGGAGCAAACAGG